rnacentral:rRNA from 1 species
GUCCUUUUGAAUUUUUAUUUAAGGUCUAGUCUGCCCACUGAAUUUAUAUUUUAAAUGGCCGCAGUAUUUUGACUGUGCAAAGGUAGCAUAAUCAUUAGUUUUUUAAUUAAAAGCUUGUAUGAAAGGCUGGACGAGGUAAAAUCUGUCUCUAUUUAAAUUAUAAUAGAAUUUAACUUUUAAGUUAAAAGGCUUAAAUAUUAUUAAAAGACGAGAAGACCCUAUAGAUCUUUAUAAUUUGUUAAAUAGAAUUUAUUUAGAAUUAUUUAUGUUUUAUUUAAUUGAAUUAUUUUAUUGGGGUAAUAGAAAGAUUGAAUUAAUUCUUUUUUAUGAUAAACAUUAAUUUAUGAAUAUUAGAUGAUCCAGUUUUACUGAUUAUAAGAUUAAGUUACCUUAGGGAUAACAGCGUAAUUUUUUUAGAGAGUUCAUAUCGAUAAAAAAGUUUGCGACCUCGAUGUUGGAUUAAAGAUUAUUUUAGGUGCAGAAGCUUAAUAAUUUUGGUCUGUUCGACCAUUAAAUCUUUAC